rnacentral:miRNA from 1 species
GCAGACACAUUCCAGCCAAUCAGCAGCAGACUCUCCCUCCCAGACCCUCCCAACUCCUGGACAGCAUCCAUUUUGAAGCUGCAUUCUUAAUGAGCUGUCCAGGAGGUGGGAGGGUCUGGGAGGGAGGGUCUGCAGCUGAUUGGCUGGAAUGUGUCU